rnacentral:rRNA from 1 species
GUACUGUGCGAAUGUUAUUCGGAAUCACUGGGCUUAAAGGGUGCGGUAGGCGGUCACUUAAGUAGGGGUGUGAAAUCCCCCGGGCUCAACCGGGGAACUGCGCUCUAAACUGGGUGGCUUGAGUGAGAUAGGGGUGUGCGGAACUUCCGGUGGAGCGGUGAAAUGUGUUGAUAUCGGAAGGAACACCAGUAGCGAAAGCGGCACACUGGGUCUUAACUGACGCUGAGGCACGAAAGCUAGGGUAGCGAACGGGAUUAGAUACCCCGGUAGUCCUAGCCGUAAACGAUGAGCACUAGUUGGGAGGCGCUCUGAGCAUUUCCCAACGUAGCAAAAGUGUUAAGUGCUCCGCCUGGGGAGUAUGGUCGCAAGGCUG